UGGCUCAGAACGAACGCUGGCGGCGCGUCUUAAGCAUGCAAGUCGAGCGUGAUUGAAUAGCUUGCUAUCAUGAAAGCGGCGGACUGGUGAGUAACACGUAGAUGACGUACCCUUUAGCCGGGGAUAGCCUGUAGAAAUACAGGAUAAUACCGGAUGUGGUCCCGUAGUUUAGAAGUACGGGAAGAAAGGAACUGUAGUUUCACUAGAGGAGCGGUCUGCGGCCCAUCAGCUAGUUGGCGGGGUAAAGGCCCACCAAGGCGAUGACGGGUAUCCGGCCUUAGAGGGUGAUCGGACACAUUGGGACUGAGAUACGGCCCAGACUCCUACGGGAGGCAGCAGCUAAGAAUAUUCCGCAAUGGACGAAAGUCUGACGGAGCGACGCCGCGUGGAUGAUGAAGGCCGGAAGGUUGUAAAAUCCUUUUAUACCAGAGGAAUAAGCGGGGUGAGAGAAACGCCCUGUGGUGACUGUAGGGUAUGGAUAAGCACCGGCUAAUUACGUGCCAGCCGCCGC
rnacentral:rRNA from 1 species